CCUACGGGUGGCAGCAGUCGAGAAUCAUUCACAAUGGGGGAAACCCUGAUGGUGCGACGCCGCGUGGGGGAAUGAAGGUCUUCGGAUUGUAAACCCCUGUCAUGUGGGAGCAAAUUAAAAAGAUAGUACCACAAGAGGAAGAGACGGCUAACUCUGUGCCAGCAGCCGCGGUAAUACAGAGGUCUCAAGCGUUGUUCGGAAUCACUGGGCGGAAAGCGUGCGUAGGCUGUUUCGUAAGUCGUGUGUGAAAGGCGCGGGCUCAACCCGCGGACGGCACAUGAUACUGCGAGACUAGAGUAAUGGAGGGGGAACCGGAAUUCUCGGUGUAGCAGUGAAAUGCGUAGAUAUCGGGAGGAACACUCGUGGCGAAGGCGGGUUCCUGGACAUUAACUGACGCUGAGGCACGAAGGCCAGGGGAGCGAAAGGGAUUAGAUACCCGGGUAGUC
rnacentral:rRNA from 1 species